CCCGUUGUUUCUUUCUCCUUUCUAAUAGAUGCGCUUCAGAUCAUCGGAAUCGAACUUCAGCUUUAUCCCCACCUGACCUAGUGAAUCGAAUAGAACGACAACUCAAUUUGCACGAAUUUGGGCCUCCAGGGACCAGAAUGCCGGCGAGGGAGGUAGGUUGCUUCUCCUUGAGGGAGCUCUAUCAGAUCGGUUGAUGCGAUGGAGGUAAAAGGCGGCACCGUCAGUCGAAGUGGAGAGUUUAGGGUUUGAUCGUUAAAGAAGGGGGUGAAUGGAUCAAACAGUGGAAAUUUUUUAGUGCUUUCAGAUGGCUUGGGACGAUUCCUCCGCACCUGGAGCUUAGGCGUUGUCGAUCAGGUUCAGCGCCACCGAAACAGCCACCACGGUUCUUCCUUUUGCUACAAUCAUCCAAAUUAAAAGCAAAAAAUCCUUUACCUCUCCCUCUCGGCACAGCUCGCAUCUUGAAACUCCCUCUUCCUGAUGGCGGUGGUCGCUGCUCCCUCUUCCGGUCUCCGACGAGGGGGAUGUCUGCUCCUCCGCAUUACGCAGCAGCGAGAACCGCCUGAAAGACACGCCUUCCGUGCCAUGAAGGAUGAGCGUGCAAUGUCUUCUGGCGCCAUGAAUAAGGCAGGCAUCUCCGGCGAUCUUAGUUCCAUUCCUAAAUUUCCUCAUAUUGAGGUGUCUUCCAGUGAUCAACCCUCGUCCAGUCGAUCAAUUCUCCACUUCAAGCCAGCCAGUCAAUUGGAGGACAAACUAGAAUGCGUGCACAGGAAGGUCUUCGGCCGUUUUACUGCCCGCGAGGCUCUUCUUGACGAAGAAUUUUGGAUGGCGGCAUGCUUGAGAGCGGAGAGUCACUGGGAGGAUCAUUCUUAUGCACGUUUCAUUGAAGCCUACAAAAGGCAAUUCGCUGAGCAGGAAUUUUCAUCAUUAAAGAGAAGGUGCAGAAGGAAGGAGGCUGAGAAGUGUAUCUGUGUUGUUGCAACGAGGAUGGAUGAGAAUGUCAACCACACAGAAUUGAGCAGCAUAGUUGGGACCCUAGACCUCAACAUAAGACAGUUUUACUGUGGAGAUACAAUUCUUGGAGAGCAUGUGAAGUCACCUGCUUUCUCCAAUAUUUAUGGAUUGGAUCAAACAAGAUAUGUAUAUGUAGCAAACUUGUGUGUCGCCAAGAAUGCUCGCCGCGAAGGAAUUGCAACAAACUUGUUGUCAUUGGCUGUUGAUGCAGCUAAAUUACAUGGCAUCAACCAGAUAUAUGUACAUGUAAACAAGGAUAACAUUGCAGCUCGAAGGUUAUAUGAUCAAAUAGGAUUUCAGAUGGUGCAAACUUCUGUUCCUCGUUUGCUGGUGGACAACAAGUAUUUACUGUGCUUGAAGAUUUAAGCUUCCUUUCCUUCCCUCCAUUGCGUCGUAAAGGACCAAUCAGGUUUAACCUUUUUCCGCAUCUUGAUGUCACAUCUGUUCGAAAUCCUUCCUUGCUUUAGAGUGUGUGGUUUCUUUCGAUUGUUUUGAUUCUUCUUUUGCCCGCGACAGUUGCUCCUUGGAAGAUAAUAAGAAACUUCAACUAUCUGAGGCACUGGUAAACUUGUCCAGGAAGGACUUGCUUUAUCGAAAAGGAAGCAAAUGGGCGAGCAUAUAUAUCGAGCACGAAGGUCUCUUAGCAUUCUUAGUGUCUUGAACAACUAUACCUUUAAUACAAUUGAGAGGAACAACUAAGAAGAUCUUGUAUAAGAAAGAACAUCAAAGGUAGCAUUUAUCAUUGUACUGAACGUGCCAUAGUUUACACUUCGCAUUGUGUCAUAUUCGUUUUCGAUGUUGGCUCUUAUAUGCAAGGAUUUGUUUGGAAUUAA